GCCCUGUGAUGAGACCAAGGCGAAUAUGAGCCGACUGAACAGGAGUUGAUGAGCUCUUGCCCUGAGAGAGGCAGGUAAUCUUGGCGGGGCAGAGGAGCCUUUCUGCUCCGCUGUAAGGGUCUGCCUACAGUAAAGUGGCUUCCAUCAAAGUUAUUCUCUUUUAAGUUUCAGAAGAGUAACCCGUAAAAGCCCGACAGUGCGGUCGGUCGAUGUUUCAGAGGCUCGAAGCUUAUUCAACUCCAGUUACUGUUUGGUUUGCAAUGUGUUCUUUCUUUGGUAAUCUGAGGGCU
rnacentral:snoRNA from 1 species